UACAGAGGGGGCGAGCGUUGUUCGGAAUUACUGGGCGUAAAGGGCGCGUAGGCGGCCUCUUAAGUCGAACGUGAAAUCCCCGGGCUCAACCCGGGAACUGCGUCCGAUACUGGGAGGCUUGAAUCCGGGAGAGGGAUGUGGAAUUCCAGGUGUAGCGGUGAAAUGCGUAGAUAUCAGGAAGAACACCCGUGGCGAAGGCGGCUCUCUGGGACGGUACUGACGCUGAGACGCGAAAGCGUGGGGAGCGAACAGG
rnacentral:rRNA from 1 species